rnacentral:misc_RNA from 1 species
GAUGAAGAACGUAGCGAAAUGCGAUAAGUAAUGUGAAUUGCAGAAUUCAGUGAAUCAUCGAAUCUUUGAACGCACAUUGCGCCCGCCAGUAUUCUGGCGGGCAUGCCUGUUCGAGCGUCAUUACAACCCUCAGGCCCCCGGGCCUGGCGUUGGGGAUCGGCGGAGCCCCCCGUGGGCACACGCCGUCCCCCAAAUGCAGUGGCGGUCCCGCCGCAGCUUCCAUCGCGUAGUAGCUAACACCUCGCGACUGGAGAGCGGCGCGGCCACGCCGUAAAACACCCAACUCUUCUAAGGUUGACCUCAGAUCAGGUAGGAAUACCCGCUGAACUUAAGCAUAUCAAUAAGCGGAGGA